AGCCUAACACAUGCAAGUCGAGCGGAUGAGAGGAGCUUGCUCUUCGAUUCAGCGGCGGACGGGUGAGUAAUGCCUAGGAAUCUGCCUGGUAGUGGGGGACAACGUUUCGAAAGGAACGCUAAUACCGCAUACGUCCUACGGGAGAAAGCAGGGGACCUUCGGGCCUUGCGCUAUCAGAUGAGCCUAGGUCGGAUUAGCUAGUUGGUGAGGUAAUGGCUCACCAAGGCGACGAUCCGUAACUGGUCUGAGAGGAUGAUCAGUCACACUGGAACUGAGACACGGUCCAGACUCCUACGGGAGGCAGCAGUGGGGAAUAUUGGACAAUGGGCGAAAGCCUGAUCCAGCCAUGCCGCGUGUGUGAAGAAGGUCUUCGGAUUGUAAAGCACUUUAGGUUGGGAGGAAGGGUCGCACGUUAAUACCGUGCAAUUUUUGACGUUACCGACAGAAUAAGCACCGGCUAACUCUGUGCCAGCAGCCGCGGUAAUA
rnacentral:rRNA from 1 species